GAAUUUUGGGCAAUGGGCGAAAGCCUGACCCAGCAACGCCGCGUGCAGGAUGAAGGCCCUCGGGUCGUAAACUGCUAUCGGGAGGGAAGAAAAGCAGCGGAAGGCAAUGGCCGCUGCCUGACGGUACCUCCAAAGGAAGCGCCGGCUAACUCCGUGCCAGCAGCCGCGGUAAUACGGAGGGCGCAAGCGUUGUUCGGAAUUACUGGGCGUAAAGCGCGUGUAGGCGGUCUGGCAAGUCGGUUGUGAAAUCCCCGGGCUCAACCCGGGAACUACAUCCGAAACUUCCAGGCUAGAGUUCCAGAGAGGAAGGCAGAAUUCCCAAUGUAGGGGUGAAAUCCGUAGAUAUUGGGAGGAAUACCAGUGGCGAAGGCGGCCUUCUGGACAGUGACUGACGCUGAGACGCGAAAGCGUGGGGAGCAAACAGG
rnacentral:rRNA from 1 species